CUCCUACGGGAGGCAGCAGUGGGGAAUAUUGCACAAUGGGCGCAAGCCUGAUGCAGCCAUGCCGCGUGUAUGAAGAAGGCCCUAGGGUUGUAAAGUACUUUCAGUCGGGAGGAAGGCGUUGAUGCUAAUAUCAUCAGCGAUUGACGUUACCGACAGAAGAAGCACCGGCUAACUCCGUGCCAGCAGCCGCGGUAAUAC
rnacentral:rRNA from 1 species